rnacentral:rRNA from 1 species
AUUGAACGCUGGCGGCAGGCCUAACACAUGCAAGUCGAGCGGAUGAAGGGAGCUUGCUCCUGGAUUCAGCGGCGGACGGGCGAGUAAUGCCUAGGAAUCUGACUGGUAGUGGGGGAUAACGUCCGGAAACGGGCGCUAAUACCGCAUACGUCCUGAGGGAGAAAGUGGGGGAUCUUCGGACCUCACGCUAUCAGAUGAGACUAGGACGGAUUAGCUAGUUGGUGGGGUAAAGGCCUACCAAGGCGACGAUCCGUAACUGGUCUGAGAGGAUGAUCAGUCACACUGGAACUGAGACACGGUCCAGACUCCUACGGGAGGCAGCAGUGGGGAAUAUUGCACAAUGGGCGAAAGCCUGAUCCAGCCAUGCCGCGUGUGUGAAGAAGGUCUUCGGAUUGUAAAGCUCUUUUAGUUGGGAGGAAGAACAGUAAGUUAAUACCUUGCUGUUUUGACGUUACCAACAGAGUAAGCACCGGCUAACUUCGUG